rnacentral:rRNA from 1 species
GGUGAACGCUGGCGGUAGGCCUAACACAUGCAAGUCGAACGGCAGCACAGGAGAGCUUGCUCUCUGGGUGGCGAGUGGCGGACGGGUGAGGAAUACAUCGGAAUCUACUCUGUCGUGGGGGAUAACGUAGGGAAACUUACGCUAAUACCGCAUACGACCUACGGGUGAAAGCAGGGGACCUUCGGGCCUUGCGCGAUUGAAUGAGCCGAUGUCGGAUUAGCUAGUUGGCGGGGUAAAGGCCCACCAAGGCGACGAUCCGUAGCUGGUUCUGAGAGGAUGAUCAGCCUCACUGGAACUGAGACACGGUCCAGACUCCUACGGGAGGCAGCAGUGGGGAAUAUUGGACAAUGGGCGCAAGCCUGAUCCAGCCAUACCGCGUGGGUGAAGAAGGCCUUCGGGUUGUAAAGCCCUUUUGUUGGGAAAGAAAUCCAGCUGGCUAAUACCCGGUUGGGAUGACGGUACCCAAAGAAUAAGCACCGGCUAACUUCGUGCCAGCCGCCGCGGUAA